GCCUUCACGAUCGUGAUGGCCCGCUGGUCCCACUUCUCUGUCUCAAACUGGCUUUUUCUCAAUCCUUUGACUCCGCCGGGCUUUGUCACCCCCAUGACCUGGUGUUGGGUCUGAUCACCCCAACGUUCCUGGCUGCUCAAUGUGGGGUGACAAAGACCCCGGUGAAGGAACGCUAGAGCGUGUGAAAGCAGAGGACGCAUCAUCAGAGGACACCUGAGGAUGUCUAAAAGAAGCUCAGCAGGAAAGCUGAGUGCUGGGAAGAACCAGGGUAGCAAUGGGACAAAGUGAAAGCAGACAUUCUGCUUAUUUAAAUUUCUUAAGGCGUUUAUUAUGAAGAGGGGGGAGUGAAAGUUAGUGCUCAGAAUUUAUCACUCUUCAGUGCAGUAAAGCAGUUUUGCCCAUGGUUCCCGGAACAAGGGACUAUGGAGUUGGAUGAAUGGGAGAGAAUUGGCAGAGAUUUUUAAAAAAACAUAUAAAGGUGGAGCAAAUAUUCCAGUCUCGGUUUGGUCAAUGUGGGCACUAAUAAAAGCAGCUCUUGAGCCAUUUCAAACAGAUCAUGAGGCAGAUUCAGAUGAGGAAGAGGAGGGCGAGUGUAAAAAACUAACUUCAGAUUCUGAAUGUGAGGAACAGAAACCGGAGGAAAUCAAAGAAAGGGAAACCGAAAAAGGUCCUAAUAAGAGAUGAAGAACAAUGAAGAUAUCGUGAAAAAUAUUUUGCUUCCCUGCCUUCAUACAAUCCUCUAACAGUCAAAAAUGUAUCUGCAGCGCCCAGUAAGGCCAACUGAUGACUCAAACACAACCCCCCAAGGGUGUCCUUAUGCCCUUCCAUUGCUUAAAAUAAAGAGCUCGGGGGUCACUUACGGAAAUCAAUGGGUAAGUCAAAAUGUUAGCCAUAUAACGCCAGCUAUAUUUACUUCAAAGGAAGCAAAACUGUCAUGCCCAAAGACAAAAACAAACGUGAUAUCUGAUGACAUCAUCAUACUUUAGUCAUUCACCAUGCCAAAUCUUGCUCUGUCACCCAGGCUGGAGUGCAAUGGCAUGAUCUCGGGUCACUACAACCUCUGUCUCCCCGGUUCAAGCAAUUCUCCUGCCUCAACCUCCUGCGUAGCUGGGAUUACAGGUCGGUGCCACUACGCCCGGCUAAUUUUUGUAUUUUUAGUAGAGACCAGGUUUCACCAUGUUGGCCAGGCUGGUCUGGAACUCCUGACCUACUGAGCCACCCACCUUGGCCUCCCAAAGUGCUGGGAUUACAGGCAUGAGCCACCGUGCCCGGCCUAAGAAAAAGCUUUUUAAACAACACAGAUUGAAAUAGAAUAAAGCGGAUAACGACAACCACGAAAACUGCUACUGAAAUCAAGUGUAGCAUGAUAAACUCUGUGGUGGGCCCCUUACCUGGGUGCCCUAUGCAUGUGCUAUGUGCUUAUUUUGCUUAAUGCUAAUCUAAUCUCUUAGCCUAGACUAAUGUAUAAUACUAUUCAUGUCAUUUUCCACCAUCCCUAAUGUGAGAGAUUGUAAAAUCCAACCACCUUUACAAAUAUAUAUGCUCUGGAGUAUGUUUAUGCUUCUAUAACAAAAAUAUUCAUGAAACUCAACAGAAGGGUAUUCCAGAUCUAGUCUAGAUACUGUGGAAUUUAUUUAUUGAGAAUUUUUCUUACUGUUCUGGUGAAAUAUGUUUUCAUUAGGGUGCUCUCAAACAAACCAACAAAACAAAACAAUUUGACUUAAACAAUAAAAAACUGACCAGCUUGCAUUUACACAAAGUCCAGAGAUAGGCUCCAUGUUGAUUGAUUGGUUCAGAGGCUCACUUGGAUCAAGAACUUAGGUUCUUUCCAUCUCUUUGCUCUGUAACCACCUGGUUUAUAUCAUUUUCAAACCCAGUUCUUAUGGCAGCGGCUGCUGCCAUCAUGCCGGCUGCAGCGGGGAGGUGUGGCUGGGGCUGUACACUCCAUAGAGCUGGCGGGAGCCCCGCCCCUUCUGAGUUGAGGCGGAAGCUCCUCGGGUGUCGCUGCAUCCUCCCAAACCAUGGUUGCAGGCCCAGGCCUCCUGCUCUACUGAGCCUCCCUGUGCUCUUGGGGGUCGGAGGGCGGGAGCAGGCAGGAUCUGCCCUCCCGGGUGCAGCUGUAGCUGCCUGACCUACGGCUGCAGACCUGGGCCUCCCGCUCCAAGGAGCAGGCAGGAGCUGGGGACAAGCACGAGCCCCACUCCUUCCAAGUUGGCGGGGGGCGGGAGCUCCCUGGGUGCAGCUGCCUCUGCCCUCCCAGGUGCAGGACUCGGGCAUCUCUGCAGCCUGCAGCCUCAGGGGGCUGGGAAGACACCUGUCCCCCAGGCUCCGGGGUGUCUGCUCCUGCUGCCUGGCCUCUCUCAGCUCUGGGCCUGCUCCAGUCUCUGAGCAAG
rnacentral:lncRNA from 1 species